rnacentral:rRNA from 1 species
GAUGAACGCUGGCGGCGUGCCUAAUACAUGCAAGUCGAGCGAAUGGAUUAAGAGCUUGCUCUUAUGAAGUUAGCGGCGGACGGGUGAGUAACACGUGGGUAACCUGCCCAUAAGACUGGGAUAACUCCGGGAAACCGGGGCUAAUACCGGAUAACAUUUUGAACCGCAUGGGUCGAAAUUGAAAGGCGGAUUCGGCUGUCACUUAUGGAUGGACCCGCGUCGCAUUAGCUAGUUGGUGAGGUAACGGCUCACCAAGGCAACGAUGCGUAGCCGACCUGAGAGGGUGAUCGGCCACACUGGGACUGAGACACGGCCCAGACUCCUACGGGAGGCAGCAGUAGGGAAUCUUCCGCAAUGGACGAAAGUCUGACGGAGCAACGCCGCGUGAGUGAUGAAGGCUUUCAGGUCGUAAAACUCUGUUGUUAGGGAAGAACAAGUGCUAGUUGAAUAAGCUGGCACCUUGACGGUACCUAACCAGAAAGCCACGGCUAACUACGUGCCAGCCGCCGCAGUAA